rnacentral:rRNA from 1 species
GGGGAGCAAGCGUUGUUCGGAUUUACUGGGCGUAAAGGGCGCGUAGGCGGCCAGCACAAGUCAGUUGUGAAAUCUCCGAGCUUAACUCGGAACGGUCAACUGAUACUGUGCGGCUAGAGUGCAGAAGGGGCAACUGGAAUUCUUGGUGUAGCGGUGAAAUGCGUAGAUAUCAAGAGGAACACCGAUGGCGAAGGCAGCAAACUGGUCAUCAACUGACGCUGAGGCGCGAAAGCGUGGGUAGCAAACAGG